UACGGAGGGUGCAAGCGUUAUCCGGAUUCACUGGGUUUAAAGGGUGCGUAGGCGGGCAGGUAAGUCCGUGGUGAAAUCUCCAAGCUUAACUUGGAAACUGCCGUGGAUACUAUUGUCUUGAAUAUAGUGGAGGUGAGCGGAAUAUGUCAUGUAGCGGUGAAAUGCUUAGAUAUGACAUAGAACACCCAUUGCGAAGGCAGCUCGCUACACUAUUAUGA
rnacentral:rRNA from 1 species